rnacentral:rRNA from 1 species
GACGAACGCUGGCGGCGUGCCUAACACAUGCAAGUCAACUUGACUGAAGGAGCAAUCUGACAGUAGAGUGGCGCAAGGGUGCGUAACGCGUAAGUAACUUGCCCCAAGGUAAGGAAUAACGUCGAGAAAUCGGCGCUAAUACCUCAUAAUGCAGCGGAUCCGCAUGGAUAUGUUGUUAAAGGUUUACCGCCUUGGGAUAGGCUUGCGUCUGAUUAGCUAGUUGGUGUGGUAACGGCACACCAAGGCUACGAUCAGUAACUGGUCUGAGAGGAUGAUCAGUCACACUGGAACUGUGACACGGUCCAGACUCCUACGGGAGGCAGCAGUGAGGAAUAUUGGGCAAUGCUCGAAAGAGUGACCCAGCAACGCCGCGUGGAGGAUGAAGGUAUUCUAUAUCGUAAACUCCUGUGAGAGCAGACGAAAGACAGAUUAUAAUCUGGAUGACUGUAUGCUC